GACGAACGCUGGCGGCGUGCCUAAUACAUGCAAGUUGAGCGCUGAAGGUUGGUACUUGUACCAACUGGAUGAGCAGCAAACGGGUGAGUAACGCGUGGGGAAUCUGCCUUUGAGCGGGGGACAACAUUUGGAAACGAAUGCUAAUACCGCAUAAAAACUUUAAACACAAGUUUUAAGUUUGAAAGAUGCAAUUGCAUCACUCAAAGAUGAUCCCGCGUUGUAUUAGCUAGUUGGUGAGGUAAAGGCUCACCAAGGCGAUGAUACAUAGCCGACCUGAGAGGGUGCACCGCCACAUUGGGACUGAGACACGGCCCAAACUCCUACGGGAGGCAGCAGUAGGGAAUCUUCGGCAAUGGACGAAAGUCUGACCGAGCAACGCCGCGUGAGUGAAGAAGGUUUUCGGAUCGUAAAACUCUGUUGGUAGAGAAGAACGUUGGUGAGAGUGGAAAGCUCAUCAAGUGACGGUAACUACCCAGAAAGGGACGGCUAACUACGUG
rnacentral:rRNA from 1 species